rnacentral:lncRNA from 1 species
AGAGGUUUAAACAGGGUCACCGUCUCAUCUACAGAGGUUAUAACAGGGUCACCGUCUCAUCUACAGAGGUUAUAACAGGGUCACCGCUCAUCUCAGAGGUUAUAACAGGGUCACCGUCUCAUCUACAGAGGUUAUGAAGGGUCACCGUCUCAUCUACAAGGUUAUAACAGGGUCACCGUCUCAUCUAGAGAGGUUAUGACAGGGUCACGGUCUCAUCUAGAGGUUAUAACAGGGUCAUCGUCUCAUCUAGAGGUUAUAACAGGGUCACCGUCUCAUCUAGAGGUUAUAACAGGGUCACCGUCUCAUCUACAGAGGUUAUGACAGGGUCACCGUCUCAUCUACAAAGGUUAUAACAGGGUCACCGUCUCAUUAGAGAGGUUAUGACAGGGUCACGGUCUCAUCUAGAGGUUAUAACAGGGUCACCGUCUCAUCUAGAGGUUAUAACAGGGCACCGUCUCAUC